UAGAGGAAAAUAAUUUUAAAAUAAUAUUUUUUUUGUAAAUUUUUAAUAAAUCAACUAAAGCCUUUAUAUAUAAAUCUUGAAAGAGAAAUACAAACUUUUUUUUUUUAAUGUGGGACAAAGGCUAUAGGUAGGACUUGAAAGAUAUAUCAAGUAUUUUUUUUAUUGAUUGAAUUUUUUAUUUUUUUACUAAUUUUAUCGAGAGUUCUUUAAAAUUAAUUUUUUAUUUAUUUUAAAUAUUUAAAUAUUAUUUUUAAAGCAUUUAUUUUCAAUAAUAUUUUUUAACAAAGAUUUAACCUCCAAAUUGGAUAAAAUCUUCUUAAAUUGUGAAAACAUCAUCUAAUCUACUGCUACUUUUUAUUAUUAUUAUUAUUAUUAUUAUUAAUGUGGGGUUAUCCGGAUCACGCGUCUCAGCUAAUUCUCACGGUCCUAAAAUCAACGACUAGACUCAGUUUCUUUCUCUCCACACCCCCUCUCUCCACCUUCUCUCCCACAGACAACAACCUCAUUUCUUGUGGCUCCUCCAUUGACAACCGUCGUUUUAUCUCUGAUUCCCAUCCAAAUUCGCCACUUCUCUCCUCAACGGAAACGACUCCGCUCACCAACGAGAACCCGUCUUCCAAUUAUCCCCAAAUCUACAACACUGCAAGAAUUUUCAAAACACCUUCAAAAUAUGCUUUUGAGGUCAAGGAACCGGGGACUCUUAUGGUAAGCCUUCAUUUUUACCCCUCUUUCUCUUCCAUUCCGGACUUAGAUGAUGCUCAAUUUCACGUUUUGGUUAAUGGACAUGUUGAUCUAGGCAAUUUUAGUGUAGGCAAAGUUAGGGACUUUGCAGCUAAGGAGUAUUUUAUACGGGUUGAUUCUGUCAAGGUUGUGAUCAAUUUUGUUCCUACAAAGAAGGGUAAUUUUGGGCUUUUCAAUGCAAGUGAAGUGAUAUCUGCACCUAAAAGAUUUGAUUGCUCGUGGGAUUUCCUGUUAAUGGUUGUGAUGAUUUAGCCAUUCUUGGUUGGAUCUCGAAUCUAUUCAAAAGUUGAUCCAUGGAGUACAGCAUGGAAGGAUCCGACCCGAACCUGGUCAACCAUAGUAAUUAGGUAUGAUAUGUUUGUAUGAACAAGUCAUUAACACUCACAGGUUAUUUCAGAAAUUUGGAGAAGAGUAGCAGACCCCAAUACAAAUUUCUGGUAAACAACAGCACUAGAAACGAAGAAACAAUCAAGAACAUUUAUGACUGGUGAGGAGAGGAUUUUUCAGCAGAGAAAAGCGUGACAGACCAGUGACCAACACUAACCAGAGGCAAAGCUCACCAUUCUGAUUCUAAAGGCAUCAGCAUACACAAGAGAAUUGGGAUAGCUGUCAACCUAACUACUGGAUGCUGACGAAAGUGCAUGCGCACUCUUGUUAGCUAUCCUCUGGGCAGCUAGAAGAGACAUUUGUGUGAACCUCACCAAAGUAAACCCUUAUUUUAUUGACGGUUUCAACCAAUAAGUCAAACGUAAUAUUCAAUUUAA